UCAUGUGACCUGUGGACUUCCCUUUGUCAUCCUAUGCCUGGAGUAAUAGAGGGGGCUGGGAAGUC
rnacentral:miRNA from 1 species